rnacentral:rRNA from 1 species
AUUGAACGCUGGCGGCAGGCGUAACACAUGCAAGUCGAACGAGUGGCGGACGGGUGAGUAAUGUCUGGGAAACUGCCUGAUGGAGGGGGAUAACUACUGGAAACGGUAGCUAAUACCGCAUACCAUCGGAUGUGCCCAGAGGGGCUUAGCUAUUAGGUGGGGUAAAGGCUCACCUAGGCGAAGAUCCCUAGCUGGUCUGAGAGGAUGACCAGCUACCCUGGAACUUAGACACUGUCCGGACUCCUCCGGGAGGCAGCAGGGGUGAAUAUUGCACAAUGGGCGCAAGCCUGAUGCAUCCAUGCCGCGUGUAUGAAGAAGGCCUUCAGGUUGUAAAGUACUUUCAGCGGGGAGGCGUUACCCGCAGAAGAAGCACCGGCUAACUCCGUGCCAGCAGCCGCGGUAAUUC